rnacentral:rRNA from 1 species
AUUGAACGCUGGCGGCAUGCCUUACACAUGCAAGUCGAACGGUAACGCGGGGCAACCUGGCGACGAGUGGCGAACGGGUGAGUAAUAUAUCGGAACGUGCCCAGUCGUGGGGGAUAACUGCUCGAAAGAGCAGCUAAUACCGCAUACGACCUGAGGGUGAAAGCGGGGGAUCUUCGGACCUCGCGCGAUUGGAGCGGCCGAUAUCAGAUUAGGUAGUUGGUGGGGUAAAGGCCUACCAAGCCGACGAUCUGUAGCUGGUCUGAGAGGACGACCAGCCACACUGGGACUGAGACACGGCCCAGACUCCUACGGGAGGCAGCGGUGGGGAAUAUUGGACAAUGGCGAAAGCCUGAUCCAGCCAUGCCGCGUGUGUGAAGAAGGUCUUCGGAUUGUAAAGCACUUUAAGUUGGGAGGAAGGGCAGUAAGUUAAUACCUUGCUGUUUGACGUUACCAACAGAAUAAGCACCGGCUAACUUCGUAGCCAGCAGCCGCCGU